GCUGGGGUAGUUCAGCUGGUUAGAGCAUGAGACUCUUAAUCUGAGGGCCAUGGCUUUGAGUCCCAUGUUGGGCA